UACAUGGGGUGCAAACGUUGCUCGGAAUUAUUGGGCGUAAAGCGCGCGUAGGCGGUUACUUAAGUCGGAUGUGAAAGCCCUCGGCUUAACUGAGGAAGUGCACCCGAAACUGAGUAGCUAGAGUACGAAAGAGGGUCGCGGAAUUCCCGGUGUAGAGGUGAAAUUCGUAGAUAUCGGGAGGAACACCGGUGGCGAAGGCGGCGACCUGGGUCGAGACUGACGCUGAGGCGCGAAAGCGUGGGGAGCAAACAGGAUUAGAUACCCCAGUAGUCC
rnacentral:rRNA from 1 species